rnacentral:rRNA from 1 species
GCACUAAGAAAAUUAUUAUUCUUUGUUUAUUUAUGCUUUUAAACAGCAAAUACUUUUAAGUCCAUCUUCAUGUAAAUGUUAGAUCUAAAAUCCGAAAAUAUUAUUUAUUGUAACUCGCCUCAAAUUCUCACUUAUUGGCUGCACUUUGAUUUGUAUUAUUCUUACGCAAUAAUUAAUAAAUUCGCCUAAGGCGAGUUCACGACAACGGUAUACAAGCUAUUAAAAGUGAGUAGUAUUUUCUUGGUGGUUAUCAAUUAAAUGGUAAGUUCCCCUAAAGUAUUUUCUCAGCCGCCAUAAUAUUUAAGUUUAGGUCUUGUAGUAACUUUAAUCCUUGCUCUAUAAACGUUAAUCUCCGUAUAAUUGGGUCUCUAAUCCAGGUUUACCUGCUGGAGUUUAGGGUGUGGUGAAAUGUGAAUUAAAUUUAGAAUAAUUAUUAGUAUUUCACUACAUAAUAAUUUUUUACAAAUAAUUGUGUUAACAACAUCAUAUAGCGAGUACUUUAGAUUUGUCUAUUAGGUUUGACCGCGGUUGCUGGCACCUAAUUGACCUAGGCUAUAUAGUUAUCUAAAUCUAAAUUUCAUUAAUUUUUAAAAUUUUUAACUGGAUUAAUUAUUAGUAUUCCAUAUUAAGUUAGACUAUAAAUCUGUAGCUUCAUCAUAUUAAAGUGAUAGUGUCUAUGGGGGUUUAUACCAUUUUAGA